rnacentral:rRNA from 1 species
UACGUAGGGGCUAGCGUUAUCCGGAAUUACUGGGUGUAAAGGGUGCGUAGGUGGUUUCUUAAGUCAGAGGUGAAAGGCUACGGCUCAACCGUAGUAAGCCUUUGAAACUGGGAAACUUGAGUGCAGGAGAGGAGAGUGGAAUUCCUAGUGUAGCGGUGAAAUGCGUAGAUAUUAGGAGGAACACCAGUUGCGAAGGCGGCUCUCUGGACUGUAACUGACACUGAGGCACGAAAGCGUGGGGAGCAAACAGGAUUAGAUACCCCGGUAGUCCCUGAGCGGG